AAUUCAAAGGUGACAAUGAAGAUAUAAAAUACAUACUUUCCACUUUAAAGAAGUUGUUCAGCAACUCUGUACAGUGGUGUGUACGUGAAUUAUACUUAUAAGUUUAAAGAGGAAAUUAUUUUUGAAAAUUUGAAAGAAUAAGAAAAAUGGUACUCUCACGAUUUCGUGCUCAAAUAACUAUGCAACAUAGAACAUCGAAGCUACCAACACCGGAAUUUUAUAAAAAAAUUCCAGCAAAUGAUCCUAACGCAUCUCAAAAGAAUGCCAAUGAUCGUUCAAAAAAUAUAAUUGAAAUUGAUUCGAAACGAUCAAAUCCUUCAUCGCAUUAAGAGUGAUGAAUUGAAAAAUUGUUAACAAUCACAAAGUAAAUGGAAAUAAAUUAGUGCGCAAGACAUUGAGCAAUUGUUAGUCGACAAAUAUGAAAUUGAAAUAAAAAUAUACUUUUGUGAAAGAACAAAACAAGUGCAAUUUUCUUUUCUAUAAUAUUAUUUCUGUAAAAUAUGAAAGAUAUGAAAGUGAUAAGAACUAAUGAUACUACAAAAAUAGUAUAAAAUCGUCUAUGAUUACUCACCUAGCAACUUUAGCGAGUGGGAAGUGGAUGCACAGUUUCUGAUAAAAUUCGCAGAAUUCUUUGUACGAUCGGAAUAAAUAAGUAGGGUCUGCAUGACCCUGUCGCUGUAUGCGUAGAAUAUACAUGUAAUAUUUUUCAGGAUCGUAUCGUUUCUGAUACCCGUGCACUUGGACGCUCGUUAACUGGCCUGCUUGUUGCAUUCUGCGGCAAAUCAACAGUUAAUUUACUCAGUGUAUAUAGAAUUCCAUGAGAUAUUAUAAUUGUAAUUAGAAUUGGUUUACGUGUAUGUGCGUGGAAUGAACGAGAACAACGUUCCGUCAUUAUGGUCGCCUGAAAAUCUCAAUUGUGCCAAAUUAUGCAAGAAGAAAUUGAACUGCGUGAACCAGCUUUUCAAUGAGCUUUCGAUCAUUCGUGCAAAGGUAGCCGCUGCCUCAGGAUUCGUUUGAUCAGGAAGAAGAGCUUUUUGUACGUAACUAACCGCAUCAACGGUCACGCCGGGAAUACCAGACGAAGUCAUCUGUGAAUUUAUAUAGUCGUUCAUGUUAGACUUAUUUACAAAUUCUUUGAUUGCAAUGUCGCCAAGCUUCCGUUUAUAAAUCCUCUGCUUGUCCGAAAGCAACAUAUUUUUUUCUCGAGGCAAUAAACUAUCCAUUCUUUAAUUUGUCUCACUUAACAACACUUUCGGUUAAAAUUGCACUACACUAAAAUCAAUUUUGUAAUACUGCAUUAAAAAUUAUUCGAACGAUUAAACUAUUAAUUUCAAAACGUG